GUACGAAAGGACCUAAAAAGCAGGACCUAUACUAACAGCACGUCCUAAGACUACUAAGGCUGAUCUCAACUAAAGCCUUUCACCUUACACAAACCACUAUCAACCCGAAGAUAACGGGCU
rnacentral:rRNA from 1 species